rnacentral:rRNA from 1 species
CCUACGGGGUGCAGCAGUGGGGAAUAUUGGACAAUGGGCGAAAGCCUGAUCCAGCCAUGCCGCGUGUGUGAAGAAGGCCUUCGGGUUGUAAAGCACUUUCAGUGGGGAAGAAAGCCUUGGGGCUAAUACCCUCGAGGAAGGACAUCACCCACAGAAGAAGCACCGGCUAACUCCGUGCCAGCAGCCGCGGUAAUACGGAGGGUGCGAGCGUUAAUCGGAAUUACUGGGCGUAAAGCGCGCGUAGGCGGUCUGAUAAGCCGGUUGUGAAAGCCCCGGGCUCAACCUGGGAACGGCAUCCGGAACUGUCAGGCUAGAGUGCAGGAGAGGAAGGUAGAAUUCCCGGUGAAGCGGUGAAAUGCGUAGAGAUCGGGAGGAAUACCAGUGGCGAAGGCGGCCUUCUGGACUGACACUGACGCUGAGGUGCGAAAGCGUGGGUAGCAAACAGGAUUAGAUACCCCAGUAGUC